GUUCUUGUUCUAGCAGGAGCAUGUGGAAAGCUUCUGAAUGAAUUUGGACCGUGGCUCCAAAUUGAACCUCAAACUAACCCACUUGCCUGGUGUGGGGCUGUGUAGCUUUCUAUCCUGUGGAAACUUUGCUCUGCAAAUGGCUGCCCUCCUGCCUCUGGCUAUUUCCGUGUGAUUCUCAAGCUCAUUCCGUCAGGAAGAAUUCUCUAGUUUCUUCUGUCCUUCAUUUGGAUUUGACUUCCUGCCUGGUGACAGACCCACUGUCCAGCCUGUAUCACCCAUGGAUUUACCACCAAAUUCUAAGGCUCGCUGAUCUGUAUCUACAAACCUUGGAUACUCUCAGCUUCAGUACCGACAAAUAAAAACAGCAGAAAGAGCAGGAGGGAGACUGACUCCCAGAAGGUCUGCUAACAAAUCUCUUGUUCUCCCUGAGCCCAUGAGACCUGAAUGUUUACAUGCGCUUACUAUAGUGAAGGCUGCUCUCUCCCAUCUCUCAGGCAGACACGUUCAGUGUUGGUGAGCCACCAGGGACUGCCAGCUGUUGAGAGCCUCCUGUUGAAGCAGGCCACAGAGAAGUCUUUAAUUUCCCUUCCCUAAAAGGAGGUCAGAAGACUCCUGUUCAUGAGGGACCCUGCCUUACGCCCAGAGGGCCCACCAGAAGCAGUUUGCUUUCAGCCAUCAAGGCCAGUGAUACACCUUCUACCUCACAGGUAUGUAAACUGUCCAGUCCUUAGUGACAGUGUAGUUUGCAGGGAUCUUGAUUGCCCAUUGCCCUUCCCUUCAAUAAGAUACCAGUCCAUUAUAUUGAUGACAUUGUACUGACUGG
rnacentral:lncRNA from 1 species